rnacentral:rRNA from 1 species
GUGAGUCAUCGAAUCUUUGAACGCACCUUGCGCCCGUUGGUAUUCCGACGGGCAUGCCUGUUUGAGUGUCGUGAACAACCUCAACCUUGAUUGGUUUUACUAAUCAAGGCUUGGACUUGGGUGUUGCUGCUGCAAAGUGGCUCGCCUUAAAACUAUUAGCUGGACUUGUCUAUGACUUGGUUCGACUCGAUGUAAUAAGUAUUCAUCGGGGACAGGGUAACACCUGGCCAAGGCUUGAUGCCGUCUGCUUCUAAUCAUGUUCUCACUAUGAGACGCUACUUUACUGUGUGGCCUCAAAUCAGGUAGGAUUACCCGCUGAACUUAA